AAUGACCAGUAAUAAAAAUUGCUGCCACAUAAAACAAAAUAGAUAAACAUGGAAGAAAGACUGGCUGAAACCAGCUGAAGAAGAUAUGCUGGGUUUCUCAUUAGAAAUGUCAAGAAAAUAAUAACUUUGAUGGUGGAAUAAUCAUGAUAAUUUUUGCAACGUGAUCUUUUUUUUUUGCUGUGGGUAACACUGACAGUGGUAUUUUUGGCCUUGGUAUUGCAGUGUCAAAAAUGUGGAACAGGCACAGACUAGCCUAGACCCAGCACAGACAAGAUGGCGGACACAUACUUCAGCACCCUGCAGACCAGCACUAAACCAAGUUAAAAACAGACAGAGAGACUAAUAACAAGGCCCAGGGAGACCCCUGAAACACCAAUAACACACUGACCAGCAACAGA